GCCAAACCACAUUGAAACACCAGUUCCUGUACAAUCACCGAAUUUAAGCAUCGUCCAGCCUGGUCGGUAAUUAGAUGUGUGACCGCUUGGGAAUACCAGUUGCUGUAA